rfam:Gorilla gorilla gorilla genomic chromosome, chr8, whole genome shotgun sequence
GCCGGGCGUGGUGGCACAUGCCUGUAGUCCCAGUCACUUGAGAGGCUGAAGCAGGAGGAUCACUUAAGCCCAGGAGUUCGAGGCUGCAGUGAAUUAUGAUCAUACCACUGCACCCUAGCCUGGGCAACAGAGGGAGACCCUGUCUUUU